rnacentral:rRNA from 1 species
GCCCUGCAGAUCGGGAUAACUCCGGGAAACCGGUGCUAAUACCGAAUAGUUUGCGGCCUCUCAUGAGGCUGCACGGAAAGACGGUUUCGGCUGUCACUGCAGGAUGGGCCCGCGGCGCAUUAGCUAGUUGGUGAGGUAACGGCUCACCAAGGCCACGAUGCGUAGCCGACCUGAGAGGGUGAUCGGCCACACUGGGACUGAGACACGGCCCAGACUCCUACGGGAGGCAGCAGUAGGGAAUCUUCCGCAAUGGACGAAAGUCUGACGGAGCAACGCCGCGUGAGUGAAGAAGGUUUUCGGAUCGUAAAACUCUGUUGUGAGGGAAGAACACGUCCCAAGUAACUACUGCAACCUUGACGGUACCUCACCAGAAAGCCACGGCUAACUACGUGCCAGCAGCCGCGACAAUACGUAGGUCGCAAGCGUUGUCCGGAAUUAUUGGGCGUAAAGCGCGCGCAGGCGGUCCUUUAAGUCUGAUGUGAAAGCUCACGGUUCAGCCGUGAAGCGUCAUUGGAAACUGGUGGACUUGAGUGCAGAACAGUAAAGUGGAAUUCCACGUGUAGCGUUGAAAUGCGUAGAGAUGUGCAGGAACACCAGUGGCGAAUGCGACUUUCUGGUCUGUAACUGACGCUGAGGCGCGAUAGCGUGCGGAGCAAACAGGAUCAGAUACCCUGGGAGUCCACGCCGUAAACGAUGAGUG